CAAAAACAGCUCAAGGAUAAAGUACAUAAAUGUAAAAACGGCACACGUAGCCUACAUAUCAAUACAAUAUCUAGAUCAAAUAGGGGAGAAGCACUGUGCCAUGAGGUGUUCCUUUAUCUGUUUUUMUAUUAACCAGGUUUGCUGUUCACUUGKGCAAUAUGAGACGGAAGAGAGUUCCAUGCAAUAAUGGCUCUAUAUAAUACUGUACACUUUCUUGAUAUUUUAACGAGGUUGUAAGCUAAGACUAAUYCUGUUCCUCUGUUUCCAGAGUGAUGGUUCAUAUUGUAGCUCACGKGUAGGGACUGGAACACCACCUCAGGUCCUAUGUGAAGUUUGUGUUCAAGCCAGAGCCGAACUCAGCCAGCGGGGUGUCCCUAACUCUAAGAGUGUCCAUGAGGAGCUGGCUAAAGCCAUGACAGCCAACCUCAAACCCUCCACUUACUUCCUCACCAGCAACAAACUGCUACUCGUUGUACUCCGUAGAAGCCUUGGUGAAGUCUAUGGCCCAGCAUAGGAGCCAGGGUGGUAAAUUCAACCUGUCUAGAAGACCAAGUUUCUCUGCCUCCUUCCACCACACAGUAGAUAAACAUGCUGAGGCCUCACAUCAACAAGAGCUACAAGGACAAACUGGACGCUGCCCGAAACACCAACCACAGUCUGGCAGUCUUGCUGUGCCAUAGACUGCCAACAAAAAAGUUGUUGGUUUCAUUCAGAAAAUUGCCACAUACAGUUCUAUGGUAAUGCUAUUUUCUUGAUAUGAGACUGUUGAUAUGACUGUUGACUUACUGUAUGCUACAAGAAGCAAAAUAAAUACGUGCACCCUAUACUAUCAGGGUAGAUUAUUGAUGUUUCUUGUGCUAUGUAGAAACGAUUUGCUAGUCAUUUAAAUAAUAAACAACUGUAUUCUGUCCUAUUAAUGUAGUUCCGUUUAUGAAAAUAGCAUCUUCAUUAUUUAUUAUUGUAGUGUUAAUCUAUCUGUGAAAACCUGGAGAAAACAGAAACAGAAGGUGAAAACAGAAGGUGAAAGUCAUAGUAAUUUACACAAUAACAGGGAAACAGAGCAUUGCUUUAGAAUACAGUGCCAAGGCGCCGUAGGUACACUGAAACUAUGGCGAAACUGUACAGGAAGUAACAGUAAGCUACACUGAAACAAUGGUUAUAGUAUUUUAAACGGUAACGGGAACAGAGCAUUGUUUUAGAAUACAGUGUCAAGGCCCCGUAGGUACACUGAUACUAUGGUGAAACUAUCCAGGAAGAAACAGUAAGGRACACYAACUGAUGAAAGUAGUAAGGAAUCUAAUAGUAWUUUACAGGGGAACAGAGCGUUGCUUUAGAAUASAGUGUCUAGGCCCCAUAGGUACACUGAAACAAUACGGUGAGACUACGCACAAAGUAACAGGUAAGGUACAUAACAUGCACUUAAGUACAGUGCUGAAAUAACUAUAAUGACAGGAAAGUAAUCGGAAARGAGACAAAAGGCAGCUUCAAGCAAAGACCUAAAAGGGACGUUUUUAGGAUGGUCCACAUAAAGCAUAAGUGAAAGUUCCAAGUACAUUCUUAAUAAGUAUACCCUCUAUUAUUGGUAGUUCUUCAGUAAGGAAUAGUUGUUCCUACAUAACAACCAGGAUAAUUCAUCACUCUUUAUAUCAGGACUUAGCAGCUACAAACAAAAUAUUAAUGGAUAAUUGAUGURCAUGCCUGGUUGUUGCCAUCUUAUUUUAUWGUUUUUUCCAGGUACUUUCCAGACAUUACCCUCUUAUUCAGCUAGCCUUGUGACCUAAGCCACCCUGCUAUUUCCUGUUUCCUGUGUUCCUCUGCCCUCGGAUUGGAGAAGAGCUGAGUAAAUGUAACCCAAUCCGCUUCAAGCUUUCAGCCUCUCUAGUAAUAGUAUUUUAUGUUCUCUUCCUGUGAAGAGGAAUUAUUUGAUAAAACAAUGAAUUUGUCCUUACUGCCAUUAGCCCAUAGAAACACAUUCAAUAACAUAUUCAUACAUGGUAAAACAGAUUGUAAAGUCCAAAGUAUGUUUUGGGGGGCGCUAGUGAGCAACCCAUGGAGUAGACCAAUUGCAUUUAUUUAAUAGUUUCUUUGUACUUUGACCCGCUAAAGAACUAGGAAACACAGCCUUUGAAUGACGUGCGUUACUUUGUUCAACUUUUAUUUGAGUUUUAAUGUGCAAAUGGCGCAUAACCGGCAAAAGUUCAAGUUCAGCUGAGUCACUGACAAAAGAGAAAACACUAGCCCCAAGACGAGGAGCUCGAGUUCUUCAACAAGUGGGAGCAGCGGCUCAUCGGCUCUGUGAAAAAAUGAACACCAAGGAUUUGAAGGCCGAGAUUCUUGCUGCCCUCAGAGCGGACAUUUCAUCUAUACUCAAGUCGGAACUCAAGGAGGCGCUCAAUGAGGACUUUCAUUUUAUUAAGUCGGAGUUACAAGCAGUCAAGAAUGAACUCGCAAAGCAUACAGCAAUGGUUCGUACUGAACUGYAUACAGUUUUAAAAAACUGUUUCCGACAGUUUAUAAAACUGACACAUAUACAAUAUUAUUGACCACUACAGUAGUUACUUCACAAUAGUAUCAUAAUUAACAGAGUGAAAAGAAGGAAGCCUGUACAUAA